AACGAACGCUGGCGGCAUGCCUAACACAUGCAAGUCGAACGAGAUCUUCGGGUCUAGUGGCGCACGGGUGCGUAACGCGUGGGAAUCUGCCCUUUGGUUCGGAAUAACAGUUGGAAACGACUGCUAAUACCGGAUGAUGACGAAAGUCCAAAGAUUUAUCGCCAGAGGAUGAGCCCGCGUAGGAUUAUCUAGUUGGCGUGGUAAAGGCGCACCAAGGCGACGAUCCUUAGCUGGUCUGAGAGGAUGAUCAGCCACACUGGGACUGAGACACGGCCCAGACUCCUACGGGAGGCAGCAGUGGGGAAUAUUGGACAAUGGGCGAAAGCCUGAUCCAGCAAUGCCGCGUGAGUGAUGAAGGCCUUAGGGUUGUAAAGCUCUUUUACCCGGGAUGAUAAUGACAGUACCGGGAGAAUAAGCUCCGGCUAACUCCGUGCCAGCCGCCGCAGUAA
rnacentral:rRNA from 1 species